AUGUUAAAAUCAAUCGGGUCCAGGACCAAUCCAGUAUAUCUUAUCAUAAUCCUUCGUUUUUAAAUCAAUUUUCUAUGUGCAUACAUUUAGAGUAAUUAAGAGCUGGUAAACUCAGUGUAUGAUAAAUAUUUCCGGUUAUGGAAUACAUUCUUCUGCAUUUAUUUCCAUAUUUUUCUAGAAAUUCACACAAUUGCAUGUUUGUAGUUUAAUUAUUG
rnacentral:lncRNA from 1 species